UCAGGUCUUGCAGUAUCUACUAAUGAGCUAAUGAGUGGAAUCAGGUGUGUUAGAUGAGGGAGACAUACAAAAUGUGCAGUGCUGGGGGUCCUCCUGGACAGGUUUGAAAACUCCUGGGCUAGAAAAUUCUUCAG